rnacentral:rRNA from 1 species
UACGAAGGGGGCUAGCGUUGCUCGGAUUGACUGGGCGUAAAGGGCGCGUAGGCGGUCUGUACAGUCAGGCGUGAAAUUCCUGGGCUCAACCUGGGGGCUGCGUUUGAUACGUGCAGACUAGAGUGCGGAAGAGGGUCGUGGAAUUCCCAGUGUAGAGGUGAAAUUCGUAGAUAUUGGGAAGAACACCGGUGGCGAAGGCGGCGACCUGGUCCGAUACUGACGCUGAGGCGCGAAAGCGUGGGGAGCAAACAGG